rnacentral:misc_RNA from 1 species
UUUGGCCUUCAACACUGGGGUUCUGAUUCGAAAGGAGUAGACACAACCAGACACUUUUUGUUGGAGUGGCUUAGCUACACAUGUCGGUACAUUCCAGUUGGCCUGUUAGAUAUUAUCCCACAGAAAAUAAAUUGGCGAUCACCCUCAUACUACGGCAGGGAUGAACUAGAGACACUAAUGGCCUCUGAUUCUGCUGCUGACUGGGUAAGGAUCUCCGAGCUGGUACUCGGGAAGGUUCCUUCUGGCUAUUCGUUUGCACCAAAACACAAGUCCAAUGCUUAUGACAGAGCAGAGAACGGCUAAAGACCAUUUUGUUAUUACUGAUUCUAAUUUUUGCUGAGCUCCUCUCAUGAUCAGUGGCUUAUUUAUCAUCAAGUACGAGAUCGAUAUGUCGAUUCAUAAUAGCUUACUGUUGGGGCUUUUAUAUAAGCCCUUACGAUUUUG